GGGCAAGUCUGGUGCCAGCAGCCGCGGUAACUCCAGCUUCAGAAGCGUAUAUUAAAGUUGUUGCAGUUAAAAAGCUCGUAGUUGGAUCUGGGUCGUAUGGCCACAUGCUGUGCUUGAGCUAUCUGCUGUAAAAGGUGGGUAAGGAGAGUCGGUGUAGUGGUUGUGCAGCCUUUCUGCCGUGUCUGUGUAUACGGGUGCUGGCUGACUUGGUGGGUUCGUCCUGUCGGUCAGUUGGCAUGCUUCUUGAUGCCCUUAACACGGUGUCGGGAGCGGACGGCACGUUUACUUUGAACAAAUUUGAGUGCUCAAAGCAGGCCAAUGCGCCUGAAAAUUCUUGCAUGGAAUAAUGGAAUAGGACUUCGGUUCUAUUUUGUUGGUUUUCGGAUCCGAAGUAAUGGUUAAGAGGGACAGACGGGGGCAUUUGUAUGGA
rnacentral:rRNA from 1 species